rnacentral:lncRNA from 1 species
CAUGAGUCGACGAUCCAUUGCAGCUCGUCUAGAAACUAGAGUCGGAAAGGAACAAACUUAUUUACAGGGAAAAUUGUUUUGAGUACACGUGAUUUCAAGCUUCUGUGUAAACUCAGAGAGAAAUUAAUAGGAAAAGCGGUGGCAUUUUUUUCCACGAGCUCAGUAGGUAGGAAGGUUCUUAGGAGGAUGAAGUUCCAUACGUGAUUUCAAGUUUCUGUGUAAACGCAGAGAGAAAUUAAUAGGAAAAGCGGUG